rnacentral:rRNA from 1 species
GUCACCAGCCAUAUCACCCUGUAGCUCACGACCACUGGAGUUCAGCAGGUGUGAGCCUGGUCAGUACCUGGAUGGGAGACCUCCUGGAAAAAACUAAGGUUGUUGCUGGAA